rnacentral:rRNA from 1 species
UACAGAGGGCCCGAGCGUUGUUCGGAUUCAUUGGGCGUAAAGGGUGCGUAGGCGGCGGGGCAAGUCUGAUGUGAAAUCCCGGGGCUCAACCCCGGAACUGCAUUGGAUACUGCCUUGCUAGAGUACUGGAGAGGGAAGCGGAAUUCCGGGUGUAGCGGUGAAAUGCGUAGAUAUCCGGAGGAACACCGGUGGCGAAGGCGGCUUCCUGGACCGACACUGACGCUGAGGCGCGAAAGCUAGGGGAGCAAACGGG